rnacentral:rRNA from 1 species
UACGUAGGUGGCGAGCGUUGUCCGGAAUUACUGGGCGUAAAGGGUGCGUAGGCGGCUCCUUAAGUGAGGUGUGAAAUCCCUGGGCUCAACCCAGGAACUGCACUUCAAACUGGGGAGCUAGAGUGCAGGAGAGGAAAGCGGAAUUCCCGGUGUAGCGGUGAAAUGCGUAGAGAUCGGGAGGAACACCAGUGGCGAAGGCGGCUUUCUGGACUGUAACUGACACUGAGGCACGAAAGCCAGGGGAGCGAACGGG